AUACAGAGGGUGCGAGCGUUAAUCGGAAUUACUGGGCGUAAAGCGCGCGUAGGUGGUUAUGUAAGUUGGAUGUGAAAGCCCCGGGCUUAACCUGGGAAUUGCAUUCAAAACUGCAUGACUAGAGUCUGAUAGAGGGAAGUGGAAUUUCCGGUGUAGCGGUGAAAUGCGUAGAUAUCGGAAGGAACACCAGUGGCGAAGGCGGCUUCCUGGAUCAAGACUGACGCUGAGGUGCGAAAGCGUGGGGAGCAAACAGGAUUAGAAACCCCAGUAGUCC
rnacentral:rRNA from 1 species